AACGAACGCUGGCGGCGUGGAUAAGACAUGCAAGUCGAACGGAUUUACUCUUGUAGCAAUACAAGGGUGAGUCAGUGGCGCAAGGGUGCGUAACACGUGGGCAACCUGCCUCCAAGUGGGGGAUAGCUCGCCGAAAGGCGAAUUAAUACCGCAUAUGAUCAGUGAAGACAUCUUCACGACAUCAAAGCCGGGGCAACCUGGCGCUUCUUGAUGAGCCCGCGGCCUAUCAGCUAGUUGGUGAGGUAACGGCUCACCAAGGCUAUGACGGGUAGCUGGUCUGAGAGGACGACCAGUCACACUGGAACUGAGACACGGCCCAGACACCUACGGGAGGCAGCAGUGGGAAUAUUGGACAAUGGGCGCAAGCCUGAUCCAGCAAUGCCGCGUGGAUGAAGAAGGUUUUCGGAUUGUAAAGUCCUUUCGGCGGGGACGAUGAUGACGGUACCCGCAGAAGAAGCCCCGGCUAACUUCGUGCCAGCCGCCGCA
rnacentral:rRNA from 1 species